UUAGGUGCACCGACUGAAAAUUGAUUUUUUUAAAAAAUGUCCUCUCAAUUAGGAUUGCCCUACAGUAUAGUCGAGGUCACACAUUUUAUGGACAUAAGUAUAUGAAAAACACAUUUUUGAAUGGAAGUGGACAUUAAUCUUGUAGCAGUUUAUUUAAUGGUGUUAAUGCCAUUUCUGGCAAGCUCCUAUUUCCUAUUUUUGUUUUGGCUCACUUUAAUGUCAAUACUUUGGCAGCACCCAGGGGCAGUUUUUGGUGCUAACCCAAGUGCACAGCGUCACCUGACCUGGCAUCACAGGAGCCUCUAAUUGAAUGCAGGUGUGCUGAAAUUAGUGGACUGUGGAAAACAACACCAGAGAUACAGACUUCAGCUGCUGUGUGUUUGCUUUAAAUCUUAAUUUUCUGUUCUACACAUCAGUUUUUUCAUCAACAGAUUUGAACUUUUUGUAAAGGCCUGUUUGUUUAGGAAAAUGUUUUUUUUUUUUAAUUUUAUUUUUUAAAUUUUUUUGACGUGACAGUCAGCCAAAGCAGCUCAUUGCUUAAUCCGAGAACUCUCAACACAUCAUUCAAAUCUUGAACGACCCGAACCACCCUGAAUCAUCAAACUUGUUGAAAGGGUCCGGGCCAGACUCACACCCUAUAUGUUACACUCUCCCCACGCCCUACAGUUCGGACUGAUUUUAACGUCGCCUCGGUUUACGUCAUGCCCCGAG